GUAGAUGGUUAGUUGUGGUAGAAAAUUAUUAUUUACAGUCAGAGCAUGAACAAUAUUUUAGAGAUUUAGAGGUAGAGCAUUUAAAAUCAUAGUCAUGGAUAAA